GUGCUCGCUUUGGCAGCACGUAUACUAAAACUGGAACAAUACAGAGAAAAUUAGCAUGGCCCCUGUGCAAGGAUGGCACGCAAAUUCAUGAAGCAUUCCAUAUUUUU
ensembl:snRNA U6 U6 spliceosomal RNA